GACGUAGGGCGCGAGCGUUGUCCGGAUUUAUUGGGCGUAAAGAGCUCGUAGGCGGCUUGUCGCGUCGUCCGUGAAAACUUGGGGCUCAACCCCAAGCUUGCGAUCGAUACGGGCAGGCUAGAGUUCGGUAGGGGAGACUGGAAUUCCUGGUGUAGCGGUGAAAUGCGCAGAUAUCAGGAGGAACACCGGUGGCGAAGGCGGGUCUCUGGGCCGAUACUGACGCUGAGGGGCGAAAGCGUGGGGAGCGAACGGG
rnacentral:rRNA from 1 species